AACGUUUCUAACGAGACGCUAAUACCGCAUGACACCGGUUGUAGGCAUCUAUGACCGGUCAAAGGUGGCCUCUGUUUCAAGCUGUCGCUUGAGGAUGGCCCCGCGUCCGAUUAGCUAGAUGGUGGGGUAACGGCCUACCAUGGCGACGAUCGGUAGCCGGCCUGAGAGGGUGUCCGGCCUCACUGGGACUGAGAUACGGCCCAGACUCCUACGGGAGGCAGCAGUCGAGAGGCUUCCGCAAUGGGGGAAACCCUGACGGAGCGACGCCGCGUGGGUGAGGAAGGUCUUCGGAUCGUAAAACCCUGUCAGGAGGGACGAAAACCGGAUUGGCUAAUACCCUUUCCGCUUGACGGUACCUCCAGAGGAAGCUCCGGCUAACUCCGUGCCAGCAGCCGCGGUAACACGGAGGGAGCAAACGUUGUUCGGAAUUACUGGGCGUAAAGGGCGUGUAGGCGGUUCUCUAAGUCGGGGGUGAAAUCCAGUGGCUCAACCAUUGGCCUGCCUUCGAAACUGGGGAACUUGAGGCCGUGAGAGGAAAGCGGAAUUCCUGGUGUAUCGGUGAAAUGAGUUGA
rnacentral:rRNA from 1 species